CAGUAGCCACGGUAAUACAGAGGGUGCGAGCGUUAAUCGGAUUUACUGGGCGUAAAGCGUGCGUAGGCGGCUUCUUAAGUCGGAUGUGAAAUCCCUGAGCUUAACUUAGGAAUUGCAUUCGAUACUGGGAAGCUAGAGUAUGGGAGAGGAUGGUAGAAUUCCAGGUGUAGCGGUGAAAUGCGUAGAGAUCUGGAGGAAUACCGAUGGCGAAGGCAGUUAUCUGGCCUAAUACUGACGCUGAGGUACGAAAGCAUGGGGAGCAAACAGGAUUAGAUACCCGGGUAGUCCCUGUCUCUUAUAC
rnacentral:rRNA from 1 species